rnacentral:lncRNA from 1 species
CUUCCGUUUAUUUCGGAACCCGUGGAUCAGAUGUGUGAUUGUGUACUCCUUAGAGGGUUAUGAUCAGUCCAGAGACCAGAUUCAGUGCAGAUGAUCAGAUGGCUUGGAGGAUGGCAACGCAUUGCAUUCAUUCAUCAGCAUCAUUACAUCCUGCAUUAAUUACAUCUAACACAUGUUUACCUAUAUGCAGGGACCCUUUUGAUCGAGAUCCUGGUUGAGAGAUUUUCUAUCCAGACAUGAGAAGACCCGGUUUGAAGGAUGAUGUGGCCUACAGUUUCUUUGACCCAGAUAUCAGUGUGCUGAAGGAUAUGAUAGCAUUGAUUACACCUGACCAUGUGGGGUUGUUUCGUGAAAUGCAUGGGGGUAUUCUGAAGGUGGUUUUCAGGCUCAUGGACAGAGACAGGAGCGCCAUUCAUACUCUUCUUCAGUUCUAUGAUCCCGAGCUGAGGUGUUUUGUCUUCCCAGAUUACGUGCUAGGGCCUAUGAUGGAGGACUAUGCUGAUAUUUUGGGUAUCCAAAUCAGGGAUCAGGUUCCUUUCUAUGNNN